rnacentral:rRNA from 1 species
ACGCUAGCUACAGGCUUAACACAUGCAAGUCGAGGGGAGACGGCAUUUAGUGCUUGCACUGAAUGGACGUCGACCGGCGCACGGGUGAGUAACGCGUAUCCAACCUUCCCACUACUUUGGGAUAACCUGCCGAAAGGCAGACUAAUACCUCAUAGUCUUCGAUGACGGCAUCAGAUUUGAAGUAAAGAUUUAUCGGUAAUGGAUGGGGAUGCGUCUGAUUAGCUUGUUGGCGGGGUAACGGCCCACCAAGGCAACGAUCAGUAGGGGUUCUGAGAGGAAGGUCCCCCACAUUGGAACUGAGACACGGUCCAAACUCCUACGGGAGGCAGCAGUGAGGAAUAUUGGUCAAUGGACGUAAGUCUGAACCAGCCAAGUAGCGUGCAGGAUGACGGCCCUAUGGGUUGUAAACUGCUUUUGUAUGGGGAUAAAGUCAAUCACGUGUGAUUGUUUGCAGGUACCAUACGAAUAAGGACCGGCUAAUUCCGUGCCAGCAGCCGCGGUAAUACGGAAGGUUCGGGCGUUAUCCGGAUUUAUUGGGUUUAAAGGGAGCGUAGGCCGGAGAUUAAGUGUGUUGUGAAAUGUAGACGCUCAACGUCUGAAUUGCAGCGCAUACUGGUUUCCUUGAGUACGCACAACGUUGGCGGAAUUCGUCGUGUAGCGGUGAAAUGCUUAGAUAUGACGAAGAACUCCGAUUGCGAAGGCAGCUGACGGGAGCGCAACUGACGCUGAAGCUCGAAGGUGCGGGUAUCGAACAGGAUUAGAUACCCUGGUAGUCCGCACAGUAAACGAUGGAUGCCCGCUGUUGGUACCUAGUAUCAGCGGCUAAGCGAAAGCAUUAAGCAUCCCACCUGGGGAGUACGCCGGCAACGGUGAAACUCAAAGGAAUUGACGGGGGCCCGCACAAGCGG